AGGACGAACGCUGGCGGCGUGCUUAACACAUGCAAGUCGAACGGUGACCUCGGAGCUUGCUCCGGGCGAUCAGUGGCGAACGGGUGAGUAACACGUGAGCAACCUGCCCCUGGCUCUGGGAUAACCCCGGGAAACCGGAGCUAAUACCGGAUACGAGACCGAAUGGCAUCUUUACGGUCUGGAAAGUUUUUCGGCCAGGGAUGGGCUCGCGGCCUAUCAGCUUGUGGCGGGUAAUGGCCCACAAGGCGACGACGGGUA
rnacentral:rRNA from 1 species